rnacentral:tRNA from 1 species
UAGGAAGUAGUGUAUAGGAAGCACCUGGAAUUUUGAUUUCCUGAGUAUGGGUUCAAUUCCCUUCUUUCUAG